rnacentral:rRNA from 1 species
UAGGGGAUAUUGCACAAUGGGCGGAAGCCUGAUGCAGCAACGCCGCGUGAGUGAUGAAGGCCCUCGGGUCGUAAAACUCUUUUCAAGAGGAAGAGGAAGGACGGUACUCUUGGAAUAAGCCUCGGCUAACUACGUGCCAGCAGCCGCGGUAACACGUAGGAGGCGAGCGUUAUUCGGAUUUACUGGGCGUAAAGCGCGUGUAGGCGGCUGAUCAAGUUGGAUGUGAAAGCUCCCGGCUUAACUGGGAGAGGACGUUCAAAACUGAACAGCUUGAGUAUGAGAGAGGAAAAUGGAAUUCCGGGUGUAGUGGUGAAAUGCGUAGAUAUCCGGAGGAACACCAGUGGCGAAGGCGAUUUUUUGGCUCAAGACUGACGCUCAGACGCGAAAG